rnacentral:lncRNA from 1 species
UGGCACUGAUCUUAAAGUUUUUAAAUUACUAUUUAUUCAUCAUUAUGAAAAUGCAUUGCUUUACGAUAUAUUUUUCUCAAAAUUAGGAUCAAGUAUAUGAUUGCAUGUGAUACAUGAAUUUGAUUAAAGAGUAUCCUUCAUGAAUAUUUGAUGAUGUAUGAGUUAUGAAAUUAUGAUUAUGUUAGACUGCAUGAAAAAUGAUAUUUGAAGCAUGAUUAUGCAUUUUAAAUUAUAUAAUGCCAUUUAUCAUUUUCAAACCUAUUUAUGAUGAUUAUGAUUUAUGAAAGAAAAAGAAUAUGAUUUAUGAACUCUCAGAUAGCUAUGACCACCUCUAGAAAUAGAGGCCAGUCGACACCCUGGAGCUAGCAUCCAACGAAUAUGGCCCUCUGCCAACGGGUUAAAGUUGGUAACGAAUAAGAAUAAGUUAUAAAACUUGUCGACUACGAAUACGAACCCUGUCACGGGAUUAUAGUGACCAUAGCAGCACAUCCGUCUGAGAGUAAGAUUUAUAAAGUAUGGAUGAAUGGCAGCAUUUUAUAAGACUUGCAUUAUCAUGUUUAUGAACUUGCAUGGUUGAAGCAUAUUUUGCUUUAUAACCUGUUUUGAAUAAUUUAUCUAUGAAAUGCUUUAUUUUCUGUUAAGUUC